rnacentral:lncRNA from 1 species
GCCAUUCAUGCUGCAGAUGUCUGAGUGACAAUUACCUGUAAGGCACAUCAUGCAGGGAGCAGCCACCUCUGGUGACACUUGACAGAUGGCCUCUCAUUUCAUACUCAGCACAGGUGUGAAAGCAUGGAUUAUGACUCCGAGAGGGAAGCAGCAUUUUAAAGUGACAAACCCAAGGUCUAACUGAGAAAUGGCUUGAGAAAGACAUGUUGAAGAGGAAAAAUACGUUAAGGCUUGCCAAUCAGCUGACUGCAGCAGCAGCAGCAGCAGUGAUGCACAGAUCUGAUCUGCGUUGGCAAUAUACUUGUAAUUCGGACAUGCAUCUCCAGGACACCAGCCUUAGCAGGAAGGGGAGCCAGUCAAGGGGAAACAAUUAUGCAAAUUUAAAAUGUAAACUCUCUGGAGCCCCUGCCACAACCUGGAAAAGUCUGUGAACCUUUGCUUUAGAGGGAAGAUUCCCUGGAUUACCACAGACCUUUAUUUCAUAUCUCUAUAAGAAUCAUGAUGUUUCCAAGGCAGCACAUGGUUUGGGGAAAUUGGAGAGAAUACUCCCGAUGGAAAGGGAUAACAUCACAGCUGCCACAACAAUGCUAUCCAGUGAGCAAAUGUCGGAUGUUCAGAGGGGCCAAGUCAUCUUGAUUAGAAUCGUGGAGGUAUGAGUUUCAAAGUGGAAUAAUCUCAUAUUUAAUAA